CUAUAGCUGUGAUGCAAGAGGUUGCGACACGCUCGGUUGCAUUGCCACGCAACCACCUGUCGGUUUUCUUGUGGAGCUAGCCUAUUAUCGUAAAUAGACGAGAGGA
rfam:Streptococcus sp. DD12 genomic scaffold scaffold00003, whole genome shotgun sequence.